UACGUAGGGUGCGAGCGUUAAUCGGAAUUACUGGGCGUAAAGCGUGCGCAGGCGGUCUGUUAAGACCGAUGUGAAAUCCCCGGGCUUAACCUGGGAACUGCAUUGGUGACUGGCAGGCUUUGAGUGUGGCAGAGGGAGGUAGAAUUCCACGUGUAGCAGUGAAAUGCGUAGAGAUGUGGAGGAAUACCGAUGGCGAACGGCAGCCUCCUGGGCCAGCACUGACGCUCAUGCACGAAAGCGUGGGGAGCAAACAGG
rnacentral:rRNA from 1 species